rnacentral:tmRNA from 1 species
CGCUAAAACCUUACGGAAUCGCUGGUGGUUUUCUUGGCCCGACGGGUAGUCACUAGCUAAAUCAAAGCGCGGGAUAAGCAUGUAGACCUUGUGGCGGAGUACUUGCGGACGGGGGUUCAAUUCCCCCCGCCUCCACCA